AGUGAACGCUGGCGGUAGGCCUAACACAUGCAAGUCGAGCGGCAGCACAGUAAGAGCUUGCUCUUACGGGUGGCGAGUGGCGGACGGGUGAGGAAUACAUCGGAAUCUACUUUUUCGUGGGGGAUAACGUAGGGAAACUUACGCUAAUACCGCAUACGACCUACGGGUGAAAGUAGGGGAUCUUCGGACCUUGCGCGAUUGAAUGAGCCGAUGUCGGAUUAGCUAGUUGGCGGGGUAAAGGCCCACCAAGGCGACGAUCCGUAGCUGGUCUGAGAGGAUGAUCAGCCACACUGGAACUGAGACACGGUCCAGACUCCUACGGGAGGCAGCAGUGGGGAAUAUUGGACAAUGGGCGCAAGCCUGAUCCAGCCAUACCGCGUGGGUGAAGAAGGCCUUCGGGUUGUAAAGCCCUUUUGUUGGGAAAGAAAAGCAGUAGGUGAAUACCCCGCUGUUCUGACGGUACCCAAAGAAUAAGCACCGGCUAACUUCGUG
rnacentral:rRNA from 1 species